CAAGACAGGAAGUAAGCAUUUUCAUGUGGGAGAAGAUAUGAAAUUAUAAAAAAAUGGAGGAGUGUACAACAGCGUCACACUGCUGAAGGAAACAAAAGGAGGAGAACUCAAGCAGGUGAAAGAGUAUGUGUGAAGUCUGAUAGAGAAAUAAGCAGAUGUGAAAAACAUUUGACACUCCACAAAUCAGCAUGUCUUACUUUAUCCUCAAGACUUGGAUAAAGUCAGUCUAAAUUUAUAAUACGGAAAAAGAAUACAUGACAUUUCAGAAUUGCUUUUGAAAAUGCUACUUUGAAGGUACUUUUACUACAAGUGCAUUGAAGUGCGCAUAACCCGUGAGUAUAGAGAUAAAGGACGUUUAAAGGUGAGAGAAGAGAAGUCUGACCGAAGAUUUGUAGCGAUGGCGAACAGUUGGACAUUGACGGUGGUCGUCCUCCUGAGUAUCUUUGUGGCAAAAAGUCAGACAAGAGGAGAUCAAGACACUGGAUCACAUCAGAAUAAAGAUUCUGCACUUGAAAAACUGACAGAUUUCCAAGAGCAGACCUUUAUUUCGGGCCGCGAUGUGACUUUACGAUGUGGCAAUCGCACUGUUGUCAAGUGGAAUGAAUUAAUUUAUAUCGUCUGGAACAUUAGCCUGCAAGACAGAAAAUGUCGGCUUGGUUUGUCACCCAAGCUGGACGACACAUGCAAAGAUGGAAAGAAGCUGUACAACACUUCAGAUGGAGUUUCCCUAUUCAUUCCCAAGAUUUCAAUAGAAGAUGAAGGAUCUUACUUUUGUGAUGUAUCAUAUAAAGGAGGAAGCUAUGCACUAAAUGUGACUGUAAGCGUUACCAACGUUUCCACCUGGCUGUACAAAGAAAACAAUCAAAGGAUUGCUGUCUGUAAAUCUACAUAUAAAAUGAAAGCACCCACUCUUCAUUGGGAACCUGCCUUGAACUUUUCCUCCAACAUCAGUUCUGUCAAGAAGCUUGGCAAGUUUUUUAUGCUGGAGAAUCAAGUAUAUCUGCCGGAAAAUCUCAACAUCAGUGAGCUCACUUGUGUGGCCACAUACACCUCUGAGUCCAGCCCUGUGCAGCACAAGAGCACACUUAUUACAGGUUCACAAAACUCAAAUCCCCCAUCUCCUUGGAGAGAUAUUGGCAUAUCAGUUGGCUCUGUUUGUCUUGCUCUUGUAGCCCUGGUCGUGUUUUACAAACUACGCAGAAAGAUUUAUGACUUGAGGUGGGAUCUUUUACUCCCUUGAUUCACCACUGUUGAGCUGAAUUACUUUGCAUAGUAUGAUGAUUAAUUAAUAGACAAAUAUCUUAUUGAAAUCUGUUUGUCUUUGCAUUGUCUUUUUAGUGCAUUGAAGAUGCUUUGCUGCAAAUCCAAAAUCUCAACACCAGCUGAAGACAAACCAACCCCGGUAAGAAGUCUCUAUCAAACCCUUUUUAUCUUCUACACCAUACUCCAUUAUUCACUAUAUAGGGUGUCAUUUUGAAUGAUUCAGUGUGUAUCCAUUGUAAAAGUGUUUUGUAUGGCUCACUGAAGCGUAUGUCUGUGUGUGUUAAGCCCGCUGAUGUUGAAGAGGUGGAACCCUAUGCAAGUUACAUACAGAGAGUCAAUUCUAUCUACAACUCCUCAGCUGAACUCUUCAACGCUUGAGAGACACUCACUUUUCAUGAUGAAACAGGAUACCAGAAGAGAACCGAGGGCAAAGAUAUGCCUGUGGUCAAAAUUACACAUGAAAAACAAUACUAGUGGAAAAUAGUCAUCUCAAGAGAGCAUCCCCAAAGCAAACAGCGCCUGACUGAGGAGCAAAAGUCACACUGAGUCAAAAGAUGAAAGGUGAUGACAAAGAAACAUUUGUCUUAGUAUGUAAUGAGCAAUAACUGGGACAUCUUCAGCGUCAGCGAUAUCACUUAUACUGUAUGUAGAUUUGUAGAGAAAGAACUUGGUUAGAUAUUAAUAAUUUGAACAAAUCAAAUUUGUACAUAUUUAUAUCAGAGUGAAUCAAAAAUCAAAAAGCAGGCCUAAAGUGUAAAGAACCUAUUUUACAUUGCACAUAAUUAAAAGUAUGUAAAUAAACUUAUUGUACUUUUCA
ensembl:lncRNA